CCUACGGGAGGCAGCAGUGAGGAAUAUUGGUCAAUGGGCGAGAGCCUGAACCAGCCAAGUCGCGUGAGGGAGUACUGCCCUAUGGGUUGUAAACCUCUUUUGUCGGGGAGCAAAAGCCGGACGUGUCCGGCUGUGAGAGUACCCGAAGAAAAAGCAUCGGCUAACUCCGUGCCAGCAGCCGCGGUAAUACGGAGGAUGCGAGGGUUAUCCGGAUUUAUUGGGUUGAAAGGGUGCGCAGGCGGAUUUUUAAGUCAGGGGGCAAAUUGUGGGGCUAAACCCCAUCCAGCCGUUGAAACUGGGGAUCUAGAGUGUGCGAGAGGUAGGCGGAAUUCGUGGUGUAGCGGUGAAAUGCUUAGAUAUCACGAAGAACUCCGAUUGCGAAGGCAGCUUACUAAACUGCCACUGACAUUGAUGCUCGAAAGUGUGGGUAUCAAACAGGAUUAGAUACCCGUGUAGUC
rnacentral:rRNA from 1 species